GACGAACGCUGGCGGCGUGCCUAAUACAUGCAAGUAGAACGCAGUUGCGAACGGGUGAGUAACGCGUAGGUAACUGCCUCAUAGCGGGGGAUAAAUAUUGGAAACGAUAGCUAAUACCGCAUACUGUGAGAUGGACCUGCGUUGUAUUAGCUAGUUGGUGAGGUAAAGGCUCACCAAGGCUACGAUACAUAGCCGACCUGAGAGGGGGAUCGGCCACCCAGGUACUGGAACAGGGCCCGAGUUCCUACGGGAAGCAGCAGGAGGAAAUCUGCAGAAAUGGACCUGAGUCUGACCGGGCAACGCCGCCUGAGUGAGGAGGGUUUUGGGAUUGUAAAGCUCAAUUGUUAGAGAAACGGUAACUAACCAGAAAGGGACGGCUAACUACGUGCCAGCAGCCGCGGUAAUAC
rnacentral:rRNA from 1 species